UUAUGGUGGUGGCCGAAGCACACCUUUAGAUAAAAAAGAACCCACAGUUGUUCAUCAAAAGCCAGGACCCCAUCAAACCAUAUUUGAUCUACUUCCAAAUGAGGUGUAGACUUCAAAUAGUACGUUGGUUCAUGCUAUGAGUAGCUUUACAAAAGUUUAAGAGGAAGGUAAUCUGAAAGGUGGAGCGAAGGUAAAAAGGAUUCAUGAAGAAGCUCAUUACAGAAACCAUGCCAUUCUUCCCUUAAAGAUAAGUGGCUGUAAGUUAAGUUCAAAUGAUGAGAGGCCAAGUAUGUAUGUCUCUUGUCAUCUAGGAUUACAUAACAUUAGAACACUUAUAAGUAGGAAUUAAUUACUGGAUUGUUCUUAUAGUCCAAGUAUAUUGUAACGAGUAAAAGAUACAAUGACAUUUGUUUUGGGAUUGUAAAGA